rnacentral:rRNA from 1 species
UUAGAUGGCGACCGGCGCACGGGUGAGUAACACGUAUCCAACCUGCCGAUAACUCGGGGAUAGCCUUUCGAAAGAAAGAUUAAUACCCGAUGGUAUAAUCAGACCGCAUGGUCUUGUUAUUAAAGAAUUUCGGUUAUCGAUGGGGAUGCGUUCCAUUAGGCAGUUGGUGAGGUAACGGCUCACCAAACCUUCGAUGGAUAGGGGUUCUGAGAGGAAGGUCCCCCACAUUGGAACUGAGACACGGUCCAA